UGCCUCAUACAGGGGGAUAACAGUUAGAAAUGACUGCUAAUACCGCAUAAGCGCACGGGACCGCAUGGUCCAGUGUGAAAAGCCAUUACGGUGUGAGAUGGACCCGCGUCUGAUUAGCUAGUUGGCAGGGUAACGGCCUACCAAGGCGACGAUCAGUAGCCGACCUGAGAGGGUGACCGGCCACAUUGGGACUGAGACACGGCCCAAACUCCUACGGGAGGCAGCAGUGGGGGAUAUUGCACAAUGGGGGAAACCCUGAUGCAGCGACGCCGCGUGAGUGAAGAAGUAUUUCGGUAUGUAAAGCUCUAUCAGCAGGGACGAAAAUGACGGUACCUGAGUAAGAAGCCCCGGCUAACUACGUGCCAGCAGCCGCGGUAAUACGUAGGGGGCAAGCGUUAUCCGGAUUUACUGGGUGUAAAGGGAGCGUAGACGGCGAAGCAAGUCUGAAGUGAAAGCCCGGGGCUCAACCGCGGGACUGCUUUGGGAACUGUUUUGCUGGAGUGCUGGAGAGGCAGGCGGAAUUCCUAGUGUAGCGGUGAAAUGCGUAGAUAUUAGGAGGAACACCAGUGGCGAAGGCGGCCUGCUGGACAGUAACUGACGUUGAGGCUCGAAAGCGUGGGGAGCAAACAGGAUUAGAUACCCUGGUAGUCCACGCGGUAAACGAUGAAUGCUGGGUGUUGGAGAGCAAAGCUCUUCGGUGCCGCCG
rnacentral:rRNA from 1 species